GGAAUAUUGGGCAAUGGAGGCAACUCUGACCCAGCAACGCCGCGUGAAUGAUGAAGGUCUUCGGAUUGUAAAGUUCUGUGAUGGGGGACGAAGAAAGUGACGGUACCCCAAGAGCAAGCCACGGCUAACUACGUGCCAGCAGCCGCGGUAAUACGUAGGUGGCAAGCGUUGUCCGGAAUGACUGGGCGUAAAGGGUGCGUAGGCGGCGAUGCAAGUUAGUGGUGAAAUUCCGGGGCUUAACUCCGGCGCUACCACUAAGACUGUAUUGCUUGAGUGCGAGAGAGGUAAGCGGAAUUCCUAGUGUAGCGGUGGAAUGCGUAGAUAUUAGGAAGAACACCGGUGGCGAAAGCGGCUUGCUGGCUCGUAACUGACGCUGAGGCACGAAAGCGUGGGGAGCAAACA
rnacentral:rRNA from 1 species